rnacentral:lncRNA from 1 species
CAAAAUGUAACAUAGAACAGGCAGGAAAUAUAUAGUCAACCAUGACAGGUGCAUUCUGUUUUGAGGUAUGUAGAGAGGGAUCUCUUAAAAGGACUUUAGGCUUGGGGAAGAUUUGAAAUUGUGCGGGAGGCCGUUCCAUAGUUGCGGCGCUCUGUAGGAAAAGGAGGAUCGGGCUGCUUUCUUUUUGUAUUGAGGUAGACUAAAGUGCUGGUACUGGAUCGAUGGUUAUAGGAAGUGGGAACAGCCGAGGAGAGCAUUUUGCUCAGGUAGGGGGGGAGUCUCCCAGAAAAGCUCUUAAACACAAGGUUGGAAAGAUGAAGGGUGCGUCUGGAUUCCAGCGACAGCCAGUUUAGUUCUUUUAGCAUGUCACAAUGGUGGGUCCUGUAAUUACAUUGUAGCACAAAUCGGCAGAGCGAGUUAUACAAUGUAUUAAGUUUAAGGUGGGAUUGCGAUGCAGAUGCAUAUACUACAUCCCCAUUAUCAAUGAUUGGCAUCAGCAUUUGCUAUACAAUCUUUUCAUUUACUGUAGGGCUUAGGCAGGAUUUGUUUCUGUACAGGGCACCUAGUUUUGGAUAAAGUUUAGAUGCAAGUUUUUCUAUGUGGAGGCCAAAAGAUAGAUUGGAGUCUAACAACAUACCCAGGUAUUUGAAAGAGUGGUCUGCGGUCAGUGUUUUAUUUGAAUUUGUUUUGAUGCAUA